UACGGAGAGUGCAAGCAUUAAUCGGAAUUAUUGGGCGUAAAGGGCGCGUAGGCGGAACGAUAAGUCAGAUGUGAAAUUCCAAAGCUCAACUUUGGAGCUGCAUUUGAAACUAUCGAACUUGAGGAUUGACGGAGAAAACGGAAUUCCACGUGUAGCGGUGAAAUGCGUAGAUAUGUGGAAGAACACCUGUGGCGAAAGCGGUUUUCUAGUUUAUACCUGACGCUGAGGCGCGAGAGCAAGGGGAGCAAAC
rnacentral:rRNA from 1 species